GAUAAGGAGGGGGCCAUAAGAUAUCUCUGUGGGUAGUCAGCUCCCCAUUGUCAGGGUAUAUGCAGACGGGGUGUGCAGACAGAACCCCUUAGAGGUUUGGGCAUAUUAGUGACUUUCAGCCUAUGCUCUGGACAGGGCUCAAAGGCCGCUGCUGGCAUCGCUUUAGUGGGAGGGAGACAUUGGCCCUUGUCCUGUCCACAAGGCCACUUUAUUCUGUCCUGUUUCUGGAGUGGCCAGAGACGAUAUUCCAAGACCUCCUUAUAAAUGAAAACUCUUGGGCUAAAAUGGCUUUGAAAUGCCCCCAGGGCUCGGGAGGGAACAUAAAGAUGGUGGUGGGGGCAGAUAGAGGUGUCUGGGAUGGACUGCAGAAGAUCUUCCCCUCCCAUGUGGGUCAUGUGGUUGGUUGCCGCACUGCUGGACCCAACAUGAUUACAGGACCUGCUUUUUCAAGAGAAGCCAGAAUGCUGCUUAUUAAAUGAUAUUCUCAGAUUUC
rnacentral:lncRNA from 1 species